rnacentral:rRNA from 1 species
GACAGAGGGUGCAAACGUUGUUCGGAAUUACUGGGCGUAAAGCGCGUGUAGGCGGCUUUGCAAGUCGGGUGUGAAAGCCCUCAGCUCAACUGAGGAAGUGCGCCCGAAACUGCAGAGCUUGAGUACCGGAGAGGAUGGCGGAAUUCCCCAAGUAGAGGUGAAAUUCGUAGAUAUGGGGAGGAACACCGGUGGCGAAGGCGGCCAUCUGGACGGAUACUGACGCUGAGACGCGAAAGCGUGGGUAGCAAACAGG